CCUACGGGUGGCAGCAGUGGGGAAUAUUGGACAAUGGGGGGAACCCUGAUCCAGCCAUGCCGCGUGUGUGAAGAAGGCCCUCGGGUUGUAAAGCACUUUCAGUGAGGAAGAACGCCUGGUGGUUAAUACCCAUCAGGAAAGACAUCACUCACAGAAGAAGCACCGGCUAACUCCGUGCCAGCAGCCGCGGUAAUACGGAGGGUGCGAGCGUUAAUCGGAAUUACUGGGCGUAAAGCGCGCGUAGGUGGCUUGAUAAGCCGGUUGUGAAAGCCCCGGGCUCAACCUGGGAACGGCAUCCGGAACUGUCAAGCUAGAGUGCAGGAGAGGAAGGUAGAAUUCCCGGUGUAGCGGUGAAAUGCGUAGAGAUCGGGAGGAAUACCAGUGGCGAAGGCGGCCUUCUGGACUGACACUGACACUGAGGUGCGAAAGCGUGGGUAGCAAACAGGAUUAAAUACCCUGGUAGUC
rnacentral:rRNA from 1 species